rnacentral:misc_RNA from 1 species
UCGCGGCUUAUCACCGGCAGUCUCCUUAGAGUGCUCAACUAAAUGGUAGCAACUGAGGACGGGGGUUGCGCUCGUUGCGGGACUUAACCCAACAUCUCACGACACGAGCUGACGACAACCAUGCAGCACCUCUGCGGACUCCCUUGCGGGUCGGCCGGUGUUUCCACUAGCUUACCAUCCGUAGUUCAAGCCCAGGUAAGGUUCUUCGCGUUGCGUCGAAUUAAACCACAUGCUCCACCGCUUGUGCGGGCCCCCGCCAAUUCCUUUGAGUUUCAACCUUGCGGCCGUACUCCCCAGGCGGGGUACUUCCUGCGUUAGCGCCGGCACCCAGAGGGUCGCUCCCCCAGGCACCUAGUACCCAUCGUUUACGGCGUGGACUAC